UGGCCAGCCACCAUUUCUGAAUUUGGUUAGGUGAUCACGAAGUUUUGCUCAGAGCGAAUUGCCAAGUAUGCGUUUGAGUAUGCGUAUCUGAACAACAGAAAGAAGGUGACUGCUGUGCACAAAGCCAACAUUAUGAAGUUGGCAGAUGGGUUGUUCUUAGAGUCUUGUAGAGAGAUUGCUACCAAGUACCCAAGUAUCAAGUACAACGAGAUUAUUGUGGACAAUUGCUGCAUGCAACUUGUUUCGAAGCCCGAGCAAUUUGACGUUAUGGUCACUCCUAAUCUUUAUGGAAACCUAGUGGCAAAUACGGCAGCUGGUAUUGCUGGAGGCACUGGGGUCAUGCCAGGAGG